rnacentral:rRNA from 1 species
AUUGAACGAUGGCGGCAGGCCUAACACAUGCAAGUCGAGCGGAUGAGGGAAGCUUGCUUCCCGAUUUAGCGGCGGACGGGUGAGUAAUGCCUAGGAAUCUGCCUAUUAGUGGGGGAUAACGUUCCGAAAGGAACGCUAAUACCGCAUACGUCCUACGGGAGAAAGUGGGGGAUCUUCGGACCUCAUGCUAAUAGAUGAGCCUAGGUCGGAUUAGCUGGUUGGUGAGUGAACGGCUCACCAAGGCGACGAUCCGUAGCGGGUCUGAGAGGAUGGUCAGUCACACUGGAACUGAGACACGGUCCCGACUCCUACGAGAGGCAGCAGUGGGGAAUAUUGGACAAUGGGCGACAGCCUGAUCCAGCCAUGGCGCGUGUGUGAAGAAGGUCUUCGGAUUGUAAAGCACUUUACGUUGGGAGGAAGAGUUGUAAGCUACUAUCUUGCAGCUUUGACGUUACCAACAGAAUACGCACCGGCUAACUCUGUGCCAGCCGCCGCUGUAAUAC